GUAUACGGAAGUUACUGCGUAGUUGCAUGUUGUGUACUUGUUUGUGUUGUCACAACGUGUUUAUUGAAACUCUCAAUGAAACAUUGACGCUACAUUUCUGUACACUUUAAAAUGGGAUACCAAACGACUUGUCCAUCAAAAUUCUGACUGGGUGUUUUCUGUGCAGUCCAAUUAUGAAGACAAACUGGAAAAGUCGAAACCAAUGUCCUAAAAGAUCAAGCGACUUGAAUUUUCAAGGGCUCUCUGUACGUUUCAUUCAGCAUGAAGAAAGUUCACUACACUGAUCGAAGUUUGUCUUGAAGUGUUCCUUGAUAAAGACGUGCAUCCUGGCAAUUCUACAAUAUUCCAGAAUUCAAAUCUUGUCAAUUGGAUGGUUAAAACUAAACAUUAAAGAAACAUCAUAUGCUGGGAUGACUUUGGAAGUCGUGUAACAGGAUCUUAUUUCGAUCGACACAACAGAUGAGCCAUGAAUCAAUGGAUGAGUUACAUAAGAUCUUCAAUGGUCAGUUCUUUUCAAGCUUGUACACUUUCAACUAAAAUUAAAUAUGUAAUGAAUAGUAAAUUUUCAUACUCCAAUAUGAAGGGAACUUCAAUGCAACUAGUAGCAAUGUUUUCUAUUUCUCAAAAUUAAACCUAAAAUUAUAGGCUUAUUGCAAAUUUUAGUUACUUCAAAUGAAACGGACAAAUUUAUUAGAAUUCCCACUUGCAUAAUUUGGAUGCUGCCGUGUGCCCAAGCCGCUUUCAAUUACUGAUCAAAUCGGCAUCUGAAUCUAAACUAUUGCUCGAAUUGCCUAAGAACUAUACAAUAACUUCCUCACGAUACAUCACUUUGAAUAUCUACUUGAUUAACGUAACUUGCUAUAAUAUCCGAUAUCCAGAUCAUAAAACUACAGAAUCCUUAGUCUCGCUGGAGACAUCUAGAUUUCAUUUUACCUCAUUUGACUCACACUCACGGUACGCAGUUUUCAGAUUCUUUAGGUAGUAACCUCUAAUGCCUCGAUGUUAUAAAGUUCCAUACCAAAUGCUGUUUUGAAAAUAAUUGAAUUUACGAAUAUUUUUAUUUAGUAUAGGUUUAAUAUCUCGAAAUAUAUUAAAUUCAUCUGAUAUAUCUUUGAACUUUACAUUAAAAAAAAUUUCGCAGCCGUGAUCAGAAAGAAUUCAAUUAUUUUUAAUUGAUUUCGCAAAAUUAUCUCCAUUUCCUUUUUUCUUUGGAGUUACGUUUAUCAUAGAUUUUUUAUGAAUUCCGAUCUCUAAAAACAGGCCUCUCAAACUUCAAUUAGAAAAUGCUUGUAAAAAGUUUGCUUAAGCACAUUUUAGUGUAGAGCGUCUAAAAUCGGCAAGACUCUCAAUUUAAAGUCGCUGUACCUUAGCAACACGACUUUCGACGGGAGCCCUUCAGUACUGAUAAUUGUUAAAUCUCAGUCGUUUAUCAGAAAUCGGAAUAUAUUCGUAAUUAAACGGUUGAGUAUAAGAUAGUAAAAUUAACGUCUUAAAGUAUAUAGCAUAAGGGUUAGAAAGGUGGCAUUAAAUUUUGAGUUCGGCAAGUACCAGUAUUAAUCCUUGCACCUCGAAAGGUGACACUCGCUGAUCCUAUGGUUUAAUGCCGUCACUUGAGAUACGACUCUCACACCAUUCUGCGCGGAAUUCUA